AGUUUGAUCCUGGCUCAGGAUGAACGCUAGCUACAGGCUUAACACAUGCAAGUCGAGGGGAAACGACAUUGGAAGCUUGCUUCCGAUGGGCGUCGACCGGCGCACGGGUGAGUAACGCGUAUCCAACCUGCCCAUCACUUGGGGAUAACCUUGCGAAAGUAAGACUAAUACCCAAUGACGUCUCUAGAAGACAUCUGAAAGAGAUUAAAGAUUUAUCGGUGAUGGAUGGGGAUGCGUCUGAUUAGCUUGUUGGCGGGGUAACGGCCCACCAAGGCGACGAUCAGUAGGGGUUCUGAGAGGAAGGUCCCCCACAUUGGAACUGAGACACGGUCCAAACUCCUACGGGAGGCAGCAGUGAGGAAUAUUGGUCAAUGGGCGAGAGCCUGAACCAGCCAAGUAGCGUGCAGGAUGACGGCCCUAUGGGUUGUAAACUGCUUUUAUAAGGGAAUAAAGUGAGCCUCGUGAGGCUUUUUGCAUGUACCUUAUGAAUAAGGACCGGCUAAUUCCGUGCCAGCAGCCGCGGUAAUACGGAAGGUCCGGGCGUUAUCCGGAUUUAUUGGGUUUAAAGGGAGCGUAGGCCGGAGAUUAAGCGUGUUGUGAAAUGUAGACGCUCAACGUCUGCACUGCAGCGCGAACUGGUUUCCUUGAGUACGCACAAAGUGGGCGGAAUUCGUGGUGUAGCGGUGAAAUGCUUAGAUAUCACGAAGAACUCCGAUUGCGAAGGCAGCUCACUGGAGCGCAACUGACGCUGAAGCUCGAAAGUGCGGGUAUCGAACAGGAUUAGAUACCCUGGUAGUCCGCACGGUAAACGAUGGAUGCCCGCUGUUGGUCUGAAUAGGUCAGCGGCCAAGCGAAAGCAUUAAGCAUCCCACCUGGGGAGUACGCCGGCAACGGUGAAACUCAAAGGAAUUGACGGAAGGG
rnacentral:rRNA from 1 species